GAUGAACGCUGGCGGCGUGCCUAAUACAUGCAAGUCGAGCGAACAGACGAGGAGCUUGCUCCUCUGACGUUAGCGGCGGACGGGUGAGUAACAAGUGGAUAACCUCCCUAUAAGACUGGGAUAACUUCGGGAAAUCGGAGUUAAUACCGGAUAAUAUAUUGAACCGCAUGGUUCAAUAGUGAAAGACGGUUUUGCUGUCACUUAUAGAUGGAUCCGCGCCGCAUUAGCUAGUUGGUAAGGUAACAGCUUACCAAGGCAACGCUGCGUAGCCGACCUGAGAGGGUGAUCGGCCACACUGAAACUGAGACACGGUCCAAGCUCCUACGGGAGGCAGCAGUAGGGAAUCUUCCGCAAUGGGCGAAAGCUUGACGGAGCAACACCACGUGAGUGAUGAAGGUCUUCGGUUCGUAAAACUAUGUUAUUAGGGAAGAACAAAUGUGUAAGUAACUAUGCACGUAUUGACGGUACCUAAUCAGAAAGCCACGGCUAACUACGUG
rnacentral:rRNA from 1 species